rnacentral:rRNA from 1 species
GUUGUGCCCUUGAGGCGUGGCUUCCGGAGCUAACGCGUUAAGUCGACCGCCUGGGGAGUACGGCCGCAAGGUUAAAACUCAAAUGAAUUGACGGGGGCCCGCACAAGCGGUGGAGCAUGUGGUUUAAUUCGAUGCAACGCGAAGAACCUUACCUGGUCUUGACAUCCACGGAAGUUUUCAGAGAUGAGAAUGUGCCUUCGGGAACCGUGAGACAGGUGCUGCAUGGCUGUCGUCAGCUCGUGUUGUGAAAUGUUGGGUUAAGUCCCGCAACGAGCGCAACCCUUAUCCUUUGUUGCCAGCGGUCCGGCCGGGAACUCAAAGGAGACUGCCAGUGAUAAACUGGAGGAAGGUGGGGAUGACGUCAAGUCAUCAUGGCCCUUACGACCAGGGCUACACACGUGCUACAAUGGCGCAUACAAAGAGAAGCGACCUCGCGAGAGCAAGCGGACCUCAUAAAGUGCGUCGUAGUCCGGAUUGGAGUCUGCAACUCGACUCCAUGAAGUCGGAAUCGCUAGUAAUCGUGGAUCAGAAUGCCACGGUGAAUACGUUCCCGGGCCUUGUACACACCGCCCGUCACACCAUGGGAGUGGGUUGCAAAAGAAGUAGGUAGCUUAACCUUCGGGAGGGCGCUUACCACUUUGUGAUUCAUGACUGGGGUGAAGUCGUAACAAGGUAACCGUAGGGGAACCUGCGGUUGGA